rnacentral:lncRNA from 1 species
CAGCAGUGUUUCUUUACAGUGGAUAAGGACUUGUGCCAAUUCAAAGGCAGGCAGAGGCUUCCAGCCACAGGAUUCUCAGGCAUCCGUCUCUGCGGUUCUUGGAAAAAGUUGUUCCUUUAGCAUCUUUUUCCUCCAGGGUCAUCCGAGCCCGACAGGCUCGCCUGGGGUCCCUCCUCGGUCAUCACGUUCAGCAUUCUCUCGGUCCUCAUUGAGGACUUUCUUGUCUCAAUGCGGAGGGAUUGACCUUCUGGCAGUGCGCCGCAUCCCAGAUGAUGGGGUCCCCCUGAGAAGGAAGUAUAGCCGGAUAGCAGCAGGGAAGGCGAAGCAGGUGGAAGGUGAUCUACUUGCAAGAUAUCCCAGCCAAGGAUACUGGAGGACAGGAUUUGGCGUUGCCCCGAGCACGGCAAGGAGCAGAGAUGAGCAGCCUCUCGACGUCGUCGUGGAUUUUUUCGUCCGAGGAACCGGCCUUCGCAUCCGCAGCUAUCGCCACGUUCACCCGGCAGACAUCGCCUGCGACUGCCUUGUCUCUGAUGCCUGUUUUCUGAGGAUCUACCGUUUGAUGUUGAGAAGCAGCAGUGAGAAGAUAUCUCAGGGCAUUUUGUUCAGCAGAG